ACCUGUGAUACGUAGGAAAUCACACGAGAUGAUCUAAUAGUUUCUUCUGGCCUCAUGCUCUAUGAAUCUAUGAAUAUGUAUCCUCUGAUGUCGACUGGUAAUUAUAUUCCUAAAAGGCAGAAUCGGCAGAAAAGGCUGCUCCAGAAGAAUGAUUUACAUUUUUUACUGGUAUCCAUUGUUCUUUAACGACAUACUGAUAUGGUUCACACCCAACUUCUUUCCUUUCAGAGAUUUUUCUCUUUUUAAAGCCUGUGAGAGGAGCUGGAGCAUUUGGGAAAGCAUGGUGACUGCUAGCCUGCACUGUGAGAAUUCGGUUCUGUGCGAAGGGAUGCACACAGCUCCCCAAGGUGCUGCCUUCCAGCCUGUUACCGCAUGUUGGCAGCGUUUGGAGGGCAGCCGGUGCAGACAGACGGCACCAGGUGUGGGUAGUGCGAGGAGGGACGGACCCACGCAGGCACGGCAGCUCCUGCCUCCUCCUGCGGGCAGACUGAAGCUCCGAGUGCAGUUCAUCAACAGGAGUUCCUAA
rnacentral:lncRNA from 1 species